rnacentral:rRNA from 1 species
GUAGGGAAUAUUGGACAAUGGAUGCAAGUCUGACCCAGCCAUCCCGCGUGCCGGAAGAAGGCCCUCAGGGUUGUAAACGGCUUUUGACGGUGAAGAAUCGACAGGAUGCGUCCUGUUUUGACGGUAGCCGUUGAAUAAGCACCGGCUAACUCCGUGCCAGCAGCCGCGGUAAUACGGAGGGUGCGAGCGUUGUCCGGAUUUAUUGGGUUUAAAGGGUGCGUAGGCUGGAAGGUCAGUCAGCGGUGAAAAGCUGUCGCUUAACGAUAGUCUUGCCGCAGAUACUUCCUUUCUUGGAUGAGGAGGAGGCCACUGGAACGGAUGGUGUAGCGGUGAAAUGCAUAGAUAUCAUCCAGAACACCGAUUGCGAAGGCAGGUGGCUGUACCUUAAUCGACGCUGAUGCACGAAAGCAUGGGGAGCAAACAGGAUUAGAAACCCCUGUAGUCC